AUGUUAAAUCACACAAACACCAAACAUAAGAACAAAGAGGAAAGAAAAAUGACAAAGUCAUUCACUCUCGUUGCUCUCCUGUGCAUCUGCUUCCUUCUCCAUUCUCCAACUGGAUUGAAAGUAGCGGAGGCUAAAAUAUGCCAAAGGUACAGUCAAACGUGGUCAGGGAGGUGCACGCUGACGAGCCACUGCGACCGCCAAUGUAUCAAAUGGGAAGACGCUCGCCAUGGAGCAUGCCAUCAGGACAAACGUGGCCGCGCUUGUUUCUGUUAUUUCAACUGCAAGAAUUAAGCGUUAUGAUGAGAGCGGUUUAAACCCCGUUUGUGAAACUCUCUAGCUAUUUUGCAUUGUCUCUGAGCAGGCUUUCGUUUUGUUUUGUUGUUUCGUCGAAAUAAUAAAGUUCUGGAUCUAUCAUCUA